UACGUAGGGGGCAAGCGUUGUCCGGAUUUAUUGGGCGUAAAGAGCGUGUAGGCGGCCAGACAGGUCCGUUGUGAAAACUCGAGGCUUAACCUCGAGAUGUCAUCGGAAACCAUUUGGCUAGAGUCCGGAAGAGGAAAGUGGAAUUCCUGGUGUAGCGGUGAAAUGCGCAGAUAUCAGGAAGAACACCAAUGGCGAAAGCAGCUUUCUGGGACGGUACUGACGCUGAGACGCGAAAGCGUGGGGAGCGAACAGG
rnacentral:rRNA from 1 species